rnacentral:rRNA from 1 species
GAUGAACGCUAGCGGCAGGCCUAACACAUGCAAGUCGAGGGGCAUCGCGGUGCAGCAAUGCACCGGCGGCGACCGGCGUACGGGUGCGUAACGCGUAUGCAACCUGCCCCGCACCGGGGGAUAGCCCGCCGAAAGGCGGAUUAAUACCCCAUGGUCCCGGGGGCCCGCAUGGGCAUCCGGGUAAAGCCUUGGCGGUGCGGGAUGGGCAUGCGUGCCAUUAGCUGGCUGGUGGGGUAACGGCCCACCAGGGCAACGAUGGCUAGGGGGUCUGAGAGGAUGGUCCCCCACACUGGUACUGAGACACGGACCAGACUCCUACGGGAGGCAGCAGUGAGGAAUAUUGGUCAAUGGGCGGAAGCCUGAACCAGCCAUGCCGCGUGCAGGAUGAAGGCCUUCGGGUUGUAAACUGCUUUUGUACGGAACGAACGGUAGAGCUCUAAUAAAGACUUGCUAAUGACGGUACCGUAAGAAUAAGACACCGGCUAACUACGUGCCAGCAGCCGCGGU